CAAAAAGAUUACAACCUACAUUACAGCAGUAAGCAGACGUCAGAGGGAGAGAAGGGGGUAAAACGGGAGGGAUAGGAGAGGACAACUUUUUUUGCCAGAAUAAUUCACCUCUCUCUUAACUCAUAGUCUCUAGAUGUUGCUGGCUUGCAACCCCCAUCAUCUCCAGCCAGCACAGCCAGUAGGAGUUGUAGAGUCUCAGAAUUACUGUAUAGAGUUGGAAGGAACCACAAGGGUCUAGUCCAACCCCCUGAAGUGCAUGAGCCUUUUGCCCACAUGGGGCUCAAACACAUGACCCCAAGAUUAAGAGUCUCGUGUUCUGCUAUCUUUGUACAAUAGGCUCAUUUCUACACACAUUCAUACACGCCUUUCUAUCCAAUACCCAGGCAAAUAAUCAUCAUCAGAGCUCGAGGACAAAUUCCAGCCAGGCAAAAAUACCCAAACCAGGGCAAGUGAAAGGUCUGGCUGGGGAGGGAGUGUAGCCUGGGGAAAGUCCCGAGGGCCAGAUAGAGAAGCCUUAAUAUUAAAAUGAUAACACCCUGCUUUGGAUAGGACUCACCUCUCUCUCAUACACACACCCUAAUUUUAAGCAUACUUUAAAUCCCAUUUACUUCAAUGCAAUUUAAAGUGCAAUCCUGCUGUAACAUUGGCUGCCCCAUUAUUGUAAAUGGGUUUAUCAUUGUGGUUUAGUAAAAGGGAUGUUGGAUAAGGUUCAAGAACCUGGCAACACAACCUUAUUUCCCUUAAUGCUGGAGUGGAUGCUUCCUACUAGCCAAUUCACCUGCGUGGGUGGAGACUCGGACCAAUGCUUUGGAAGAAGUUGUGUACCAGUGGAAGAAAAACGUGAUUUGUUGUUAGAAGUUGCCGAGAGUUUGUAGCUUGUAGGUGAAACGGUAAGUGCAGCCUUCCCAGGCAGGGGGAGGGAUGGACUACACAAGGUGCUCUCUGUGGAUUUGUUGCUUGCCUGAAUGAGUACCUACUUGUAUAUCAUAAAUAAAGCAAAAUACUACCAAGAGA